GGAAAAUGAACCAAAUGGGAUUCCUUUAGUAAUUGCGAAUGAACAAGGAUGUGCUCAGCUUGACAAAUGGAGUUUUUGAGCUUUGAAUUGUAAUUUUGCAAUGCAUCACCAGCGGAGGUACAGUUGCAAGCCUUUUGAAAGACAGCGCCAUUGAGGGUGAAAUUCCUUUUUGUCUUCUGCAACCUUUGUGCACGGUAUGUAUUUGGUGAAUCACAUUCCUCGGCAUUGGAAUGCAAAUUGGGUGGUAAAUUUCACGCAAGGGAAAAUAUAUUAUUGAGUCUGAUAAUGAACAAGUACCAUGAGGGAAAUAUGCAAAGGACUUUGAAAAGAAAAUUAAAAGAGCUUGCAUUUGCUAAACAGAAAACUAGCAGAAGUGCUUUAUCUUGGUAAGAUUGCUGCGCAUGGGUUUACUGUGUAAAUUGUAUGAGCAUUGGUUCUUACUUUGUGUGUCAAUUCCAUUGUCAAUUUUAAUAUCUUUGCUCAUGAAUUGUGAAAUGCUUGCGGGUGUUAGAUUGCAUGUGCAUUCAUUAAUUUGGACUUGGUGCAGUGCUUGGCAACAGCUUGCAUGUAGAGUGUGCGUGCAAUGUACAAUUGCGAUUGUCAGCUGUUGCCAACCACUUUUGUUGGCAAUGUGAUU
rnacentral:rRNA from 1 species